GACGAAGGAUCCAAGCGUUAUCCGGAUUCAUUGGGUUUAAAGGGUGCGUAGGCGGAUUUGUAAGUCAGUGGUGAAAGCCGAUAGCUCAACUAUCGAACUGCCAUUGAUACUGCAGAUCUAGAAUAUAGAUGAUGUUGGCGGAAUAUGACAUGUAGCGGUGAAAUGCAUAGAUAUGUCAUAGAACACCGAUUGCGAAGGCAGCUGACAAAACUAUUAUUGACGCUGAUGCACGAAAGUGCGGGGAUCAAACAGG
rnacentral:rRNA from 2 species